AACAAAUAAAUAACACGAGGAAAAAAAUCGACCGGGGUAAAAAUGCAACUAAACACCAACAAACGUUAUACCGCUAAGAGGCACCAUUGCUAAACAUUCAGAACAACAGCGAUGCAACGCAAAAUCCUAAACAGGUUUAAAAAUGUGCAGUGGGAACAUGGAGCUACACUUAUGGGAAAACUAAUGGAAUUUGAUGACUGUAUCGGCCAAACUUUGAUGAAGAGAUGGAUCUUAAAGCACAAGAGCACAGUGAGGGCUGGUCUUGAUUUUCCCUCAACUUUGAACAUUAAAGGGACGCAGAAGCAUGACACGGCAAAAUUAUGUAUCAGUUACACUGACGCACCAGAAUAUAUGCAAUCAUCUCUCAUAACUGCCUAAACUGUGAAACCCAUUUGCACUGUUUACUCAGCUGGUUUCUUAAGAACUGGUGCUGUGAGUAAUUUGAUUUGCUAGAAUGUAUUUGUGUGGUGUAGCACUUGCUUUCUA